AUUGAACGCUGGCGGCAGGCCUAACACAUGCAAGUCGAGCGAGUGGCGGACGGGUGAGUAAUGUCUGGGGAUCUGCCUGAUGGAGGGGGAUAACUACUGGAAACGGUAGCUAAUACCGCAUACCAUCGGAUGUUCCCAGAUGGGAUUAGCUUGUCGGUGGGGUAACGGCUCACCAAGGCGACGCUCCCUAGCUGGUCUGAGAGGAUUAACCGCCACACUGGAACUGAGACACGGUCCAGACUCCUACGGGAGGCAGCAGUGGGGAAUAUUGCACAAUGGGCGCAAGCCUGAUGCAGCCAUGCCGCGUGUAUGAAGAAGGCCUUCGGGUUGUAAAGUACUUUCAGUGGGGAGGCGUUACCCGCAGAAGAAGCACCGGCUAACUCCGUGCCAGCAGCCGCGGUAAUUC
rnacentral:rRNA from 1 species